UACGAAGGGUGCAAGCGUUAAUCGGAAUUACUGGGCGUAAAGGGUGCGUAGGCGGUUCGUUAAGUCUGUCGUGAAAUCCCCGGGCUCAACCUGGGAAUGGCGAUGGAUACUGGCGAGCUAGAGUGUGUCAGAGGAUGGUGGAAUUCCCGGUGUAGCGGUGAAAUGCGUAGAGAUCGGGAGGAACAUCAGUGGCGAAGGCGGCCUUCUGGACCAGUACUGACGCUCAUGCACGAAAGCGUGGGGAGCAAACAGG
rnacentral:rRNA from 1 species